CAUGAGGAAAACGCUGGCUCCCUGGUCUCUCCCCUGCUGAACAUUCACGCUGGAAAAAAGAGGAGGGGGGCAUUUUGAGCGCAGUGGGCUCCCUCCGUGACGCCAGGGGACGUCGACCCAUGAAGAUGUCAUCGUUCACUAAGCGUGUCUGACGGACUUCUGGCACCAUGGACGGAUGAAGGGGUAUUUAGGACUUUACAUCACUGUUGGCUGGGAGAGGGAGACAGCAGGGGGAGGUGGGUGGCUGCAGUUAGGAUCCCUCUCUCACAGCGGACUUCCUCCCCUCGCAGCUUUCCUGACCCUCCUGAUCUCAAG